rnacentral:rRNA from 1 species
UACGUAGGGUGCGAGCGUUGUCCGGAAUUAUUGGGCGUAAAGGGCUCGUAGGCGGUCUGUCGCGUCGGGAGUGAAAACUCAGGGCUUAACCCUGAGCCUGCUUCCGAUACGGGCAGACUAGAGGUAUGCAGGGGAGAACGGAAUUCCAGGUGUAGCGGUGGAAUGCGCAGAUAUCAGGAGGAACACCGGUGGCGAAGGCGGGUCUCUGGGCAGUAACUGACGCUGAGGAGCGAAAGCGUGGGGAGCGAACAGG